GGCACAGUGGUGCAGUGGGUAGCACUGUCGCCUCGCAGUGAGAAGGUUCAAAUCCCGGCCUGGGCCA
rnacentral:tRNA from 1 species